rnacentral:rRNA from 1 species
AUACAGAGGGCUCAAGCGUUAAUCGGAAUCACUGGGCUUAAAGGGUGCGCAGGCGGAUUAGUAAGUAUCUUGUGAAAUCCCACAGCUCAACUGUGGAACUGCUCGGUAUACUGCUAAUCUUGAGCCCGACAGGGGCUAUCAGAACUCUAGGUGGAGCGGUGAAAUGCGUAGAUAUCUAGGGGAAUGCCAAAGGCGAAGGCAGAUAGCUGGGUCGGUGCUGACGCUCAGGCACGAAAGCGUGGGUAGCGAACGGGAUUAGAAACCCUAGUAGUCC